UACAGAGGGGGCAAGCGUUAUUCGGAAUUAUUGGGCGUAAAGAGCGUGUAGGCGGCCUGACAGGUCUGCUGUGAAAACUCGAGGCUCAACCUCGAGAUGUCGGCGGAAACCGUCUGGCUAGAGUCCGGAAGAGGAGAGUGGAAUUCCUGGUGUAGCGGUGAAAUGCGCAGAUAUCAGGAAGAACACCUAUGGCGAAGGCAGCUCUCUGGGACGGUACUGACGCUGAGACGCGAAAGCGUGGGGAGCGAACAGG
rnacentral:rRNA from 1 species